rnacentral:rRNA from 1 species
UACGUAGGGUGCGAGCGUUAAUCGGAAUUACUGGGCGUAAAGCGUGCGCAGGCGGUUUGUUAAGUCCGUUGUGAAAGCCUCGAGCUCAACUUGGGAAUUGCAGUGGAUACUGGCAGGCUGGAGUACGGUAGAGGAAGGUGGAAUUCCCGGUGUAGCAGUGAAAUGCGUAGAUAUCGGGAGGAACACCAGUGGCGAAGGCGGCCUUCUGGACCAGUACUGACGCUCAUGCACGAAAGCGUGGGGAGCAAACAGG